rnacentral:rRNA from 1 species
UCCAGCAGCUAUAUCAUCCUGCAACUCACAACUGGCAACCCACUGAAGCUCAGCAGGUGUGAGCCUGGUCAGUACCUGGAUGGGAGACCUUCUGGGAAAACUAAGGUUGCUGCUGGAA